rnacentral:rRNA from 1 species
ACUAUGUGUUGUUGGGUAGGGGAGCGUUCUGUAAGCCUGUGAAGGUGGCCUGUGAGGGUUGCUGGAGGUAUCAGAAGUGCGAAUGCUGACAUAAGUAACGAUAAAGCGGGUGAAAAGCCCGCUCGCCGGAAGACCAAGGGUUCCUGUCCAACGUUAAUCGGGGCAGGGUGAGUCGACCCCUAAGGCGAGGCCGAAAGGCGUAGUCGAUGGGAAACGGGUUAAUAUUCCCGUACUUGGUGUUACUGCGAAGGGGGGACGGAGAAGGCUAUGUUGGCCGGGCGACGGUUGUCCCGGUUUAAGCGUGUAGGUGUGUGUUCCAGGUAAAUCCGGUUCACUUUAACACUGAGGCGUGAUGACGAGGCACUACGGUGCUGAAGCAACAAAUGCCCUGCUUCCAGGAAAAGCCUCUAAGCAUCAGGUAACAUCAAAUCGUACCCCAAACCGACACAGGUGGUCAGGUAGAGAAUACCAAGGCGCUUGAGAGAACUCGGGUGAAGGAACUAGGCAAAAUGGUGCCGUAACUUCGGGAGAAGGCACGCUGACAUGUAGGUGAAGUGAUUUACUCAUGGAGCUGAAGUCAGUCGAAGAUACCAGCUGGCUGCAACUGUUUAUUAAAAACACAGCACUGUGCAAACACGAAAGUGGACGUAUACGGUGUGACGCCUGCCCGGUGCCGGAAGGUUAAUUGAUGGGGUCAGCGCAAGCGAAGCUCCUGAUCGAAGCCCCGGUAAACGGCGGCCGUAACUAUAACGGUCCUAAGGUAGCGAAAUUCCUUGUCGGGUAAGUUCCGACCUGCACGAAUGGCGUAAUGAUGGCCAGGCUGUCUCCACCCGAGACUCAGUGAAAUUGAACUCGCUGUGAAGAUGCAGUGUACCCGCGGCAAGACGGAAAGACCCCGUGAACCUUUACUAUAGCUUGACACUGAACAUUGAGCCUUGAUGUGUAGGAUAGGUGGGAGGCUUUGAAGUGUGG